rnacentral:sRNA from 1 species
UAUACAACUUGUGAGGUUAUACUUGUUUUUAGCUACUUUUCUUUAGGGAUUGUGGGAGGUGGGUGCUGAGAGGGGUGUUUGCCAGUGCUGUGGGGAUCCCUGUUCUUCCAGGGUCUCAGCAACCUCCUGCAACAAACUUGCUGGGGCCUGCUGUGUGUACACACUGUGUCAGGCUGGGUGUACCUCCUUAAGCACAUAAGUGGUAAAAUAAGUACCAUGGUAAAAUUAUGGCUUAGGGCUCAGAGUAAAAUUAUAAAAAGGGAACAGAUUACAUCCGGCUGUGGGCAAUAAGAAACACUUUCUGCGAGAUUCUGAGAUGGGCCUGGAAGAAUGGAUGAUAUUUCAACAGGAGGUAAUGAGGAAAUGCAAUUUCAGUGUGGGCACCUGAACAGACAAAAGGACAGGUGUCAUGGAAAACAGGUUCUGGGAAACCUGCAUCACCUAAUUCACUGGAGAGGGAUAAUAGUGAUGCUAUAAAUAGCAAAUGAAGUCAGUUGGGCUCUUAUAUGUGUUGAGCACCACCAUCCAUCUGAAUAGUUGCUUAAGCCAGACAUUGGGGAGUGGCCCCAGCUGCUUUUUUCUUCCCUUCAUCCAGAAAGUUAGCAGUUCCUGGAUUUUCCUCUUCCAGAAUGUCCCUCAAACCUGUCCUCUUUUGUCUUUUCUCAUGUCUGCCACACUUGUCUUAGUCAUUGGCGAAAUAUCCACAUUUUAUACUUUUGUUUUGAAACUGACGGAAUUGUCCCAGAAAACUGAUGUUUACGGUUUCUUUUAAAUAAGUACAGAAAUUUACCCUCCCAGUCUUAAAUCUUGAGAAAGUUACAUUUAUCUUAUCUGAGUUCCUUUUUCAGGAAACCAACCAUCAGUCCUCCCAGAUAGUAUCAAGGAACAGAAACUUUCCAGAUCACAGCAUCAGGACAGUGAGACACCAGACCCCUCACCCAACAUGAUUGCCUAGCCCACCACCUACUGCCUGUUGGCUAACUCCUCUUCCUUACCCCUUCCUGGUUCUUGUUUUCCCACAUGUCAUUACAUUUCUUUCCUGCUAUGUAAAUCCUUAAUUUUAGUUGGCUUAGGAGAUGGAUUUGAGACUCAUCUCCCAUUCUCCUCUGCCACAGUACCCGAAUAAAGCCUGGCAGUACUUUUUGUCCUAGUAAUUGGCCUCCUGUGUGGCAGCAGUGGCACCUAUCUGUACCAUACCUUUGACGCUUUGGUGGCAGUUCUGUGAAGGCAGGAAAAUUGAUUGUGGAAUAAAGUGAUACAUUUCGUUUGGGGCAUGUUUCUAUCUUAUUAAUAGUAUAUUUUUCCUCAUAGAGAUGUCUAGUAUACAGUUAGAAAUAGAGGCCUAAGCUGGGCAUCAUUGCGCUUGCCUGCAAUCCCAGCUACUAGGUAGGUUGAGGUGGAAGGAUCGCUCGAGGCCAGGAUUUUGAGACUGUAGUGUGCAGUGAGCAUGCCUGUGAAUAGCCACUGCGCUCUAGCUGGGCAAUAAUAAUAUUAAUAUAUAGAUGCCCUGUCUUUAAAAAAAUAGAAAAGAAAAGAAA